rnacentral:rRNA from 1 species
UACGUAGGGGCAAGCGUUGUUCGGAAUCAUUGGGCGUAAAGGGCGCGUAGGUGGUUCUGUAUGUCUACCGUGAAAGCAUACAGCUCAACUGUAUUUUGUCGGUAGAAACUGCAGGACUUGAGGCUGGGAGGGGCUGGUGGAAUUCCCUGUGUAGCGGUGAAAUGCGUAGAGAUGGGGGAGAACACUCGUGGCGAAGGCGGCCAGCUAGACCAGUUCUGACACUGAGGCGCGACAGCGUGGGGAGCAAACAGG